AGCUGCAUGAUGUAGUGGUUUGUGUGCUGGACUAUGACUCUAGAGACCAGGGUUUAAAUCCCCACUCAGCUA